AGCAGCCGCGGUAAUUCCAGCUCCAAUAGCGUAUAUUAAAGUUGUUGCAGUUAAAAAGCUCGUAGUUGAACCUUAGGCCCGUGCGGGUGGUCCGUCCUCUGGGCGAGCACUGCCUCGUCGCGGGUCUCACCUUCUGGCGAGCGUGGAUGCCAUUCACUUGGUGUCGGCGGGGAACCAGGACCUUUACCUUGAAAAAAUUAGAGUGCUCAAAGCGGGCUCGUACGCUUGAAUACAUUAGCAUGGAAUAAUGAAAUAGGACGACGGUUCUAUUUUGUUGGUUUCCGGGACAGUCGUAAUGAUUAAUAGGGAUAGUUGGGGGCAUUCGUAUUCAAUUGUCAGAGGUGAAAUUCUUGGAUUUAUUGAAGACGAACUACUGCGAAAGCAUUUGCCAAGGAUGUUUUCAUUAAUCAAGAACGAAAGUUGGGGGAUCGAAGACGAUCAGAUACCGUCGUAGUCUCAACCAUA
rnacentral:sRNA from 1 species